UGCCCCAAAAUUGACGAGCACAUGGUUUCACUGCGUAUGACACAAUGUUCUUAUGGUAAUAUAAAGGAAAUUAUUAUCGAAAUUGUAUUCUUAAAAGAUUGACCAGGCAUGUUUGCAAAAACUUCGUCCUCUUGGUAGCAACAUUCUGUUCUUUUUGGCUCUCCAGUAAAAUUGUAAAAACUACAUAUUAAUACAUGUAUUAUGCUGUAUUUUUGAAAAUGACAUCAGAAUUCGAGCAAAUACCUUAAUGGCGAACCAAGGCCUUUGAUGUUUGAUUCCGAUCAGACGCUCUUUGAUAAUAAUGUAUCUAAAUAAAACAGAUCUACUGACCUAUGAACGACUGUAAGAUUGGAUCUAGUCAUGGGGACACUAGAUAUAUAUCACCAACACUGUACUAUAAAGCUGGCGGUUGGCUCCUUGUUUGUUCAUCAAAACGUUGAGAAGAAGCGCUCUACUUAGUUUCACCAACUGAUACCUCGUUGUGCUUCGCAAGACCUCCACCUCCCAGCAUGUCCCGCUGUCUACUCCUUCCCGCCAUGUCGCUCCUCCUGGUCCUGGUGGUCACGUGGACACAGCCACCCCAGGCCGGCGCGAACGUCAUUAGUCAGUUUCCUAUUCAGGGAAUCUCGGGAACGUCCGGGGACACAGACUGUCUUCUGAGGUGUGGCAAUGUGGCGACCAGGUGCCAGGCAGGUCCCAGGGAGUGUGGGAACAGAAUGAGGACCUGUCUCAACCUGUGCCGUGGCGGGAACGGCAGGUGAUGAGGACGAGAGCGACACAGCUACCCGACAUAAACCCAUAAUUUAUUGCCCAGACGUUUCUAUCUCCGUAUUCUCUUCGUUUUGGUAUAAUAUAUAUAUAUAUGAGGUAUAUAUAUAUAUAUAGGAUGUUGGGGUUCCCCUGGAAAGAAAGUGUCCAUCCGAUUGAGUAAAAAUUCCCUCCGUUUGUCUAUGAAUUCUGCGUAAUUCGGCUACGAUAAUGUCCUAAAAAAUAAUUCUUUAGAAAUAUUUAGAAUCAUUAUCAAGCAAGGUCCUUGAAAGCUUCGAUGUAAACAUGUUGUGUCUUUCUAAAUUUCAUAUAAUCUCGUUUGAGAUUUAAAAUUAAAAAAAGUUCAGUGCCUAUUUUCAGCGAUAUCUCAAAAUAAAAUUCUGCACCAUCCGA